rnacentral:lncRNA from 1 species
UUUUUUUUUUUUUUCAAAAAAACCCCCACACCCAGCAAACUUCAAUCUAUGAAAUAUGACCAUCCCAGACCAGUGGACAGAGAGGCCUCCCCUUCAAGUUUUUUCAAACCGUGAAGCCCAUCUCUGUCUUCCCAGCCCCCUCCCCCGCCCCCCACCCACCCUUCCAAAACAGUCACUUUUCACAGGGGUGCGAGGGCAGGCGUUAGGGGCUGGUCCUUCGGGGUCGGUUUCUACCUGUGUCAUUUCACUCAUCUGCACCUUCAUUACUUCCUUUUAGAAAAUGAGGGCGACCCCUACUUCACCAGGUUGGGGGUGGUCCCAGGUGGCAGGUGGAUGGACCCAAAGGCAUUUGAAAAACUCCCGUGCAACUAACUGGGACCUAAAGAACCCGUUAGAUCAUCAAUCCUUUUUUUUUUUUUUUUUUUUUCUUCGUUCUUUCUGUCUUGUUAGGGCCGCACUCAAGACAUAUGGAGGUUCCCAGGCUAGGGGUCUAAUCGGAUCUGUAGCCACCGGCCUACACCAGAGCCACAGCCAACGCCAGGUCUUCGACCUACACAACAGUCACAGACAAGGCUCGGAUCUAGGGUUGCUGUGGCUGUGGCCUACGGCGGCAGCUCCGAUUCCACCCCCAGCCUGGAGCCUUCACAUGCGGCCCUUAAAAAAAAAAAAAAAGGGUUGGUGAGGAUGUGGAGAAAUUGGAAUGUCGUGCCUUGCCGGUGGGAAUGUAAAAUGCUUCAGCUGCCACUGGCAAAGAGUAUGGCAGCGCCUCAAAAAACGUGGAAUGACUGUAGGAGCCAGUAAUUCCACUUCUGGGUUCAUACACGAAAGAAAGGAAAGCAGGGACCUCAGUGGAUAGUUGCCCCCCCACGACCACAGCAGCAUCGUUCACAGCCACGGAAUGGAAACAAGCCCAGCGUCCGUCGACAGGCUAUAGAGGAUAAACAAAAUGUGAUACGGACACAGAAUGAAAAAUUAUUCAGCCUUAAGUUGGAAGGAACCUCUGACACAGGCUACAGCACGGAUGAACUCUGAGGGCCCUAUGCUCAGUGAUGCCCUGAGGACGGCAGAUGCAGAAAGAAAAGACAAGCACAAUUCUCCUUGUACGAGGUACCUACAGUUGUCAAAUGGAUAGAGACCCAAAACAGAAGGGUGGUUACCAGGGGCUGGGGGUGGGGGGAAUGGGGAGUCAGCGUUUAAUGGGCACAACGUUUCCAUUUGGGAUGACAGAGAAGUUCUGGGGAUGGCGACGGGGACACUUGCGCGACGGUGCGGAUGGAACAUAAUGGCCUUUACUGCACACGUAAGGAUGGUUCAGACAGUCAUUCUAUGUGAUGUACGUCUUACUGUAACUUUCAAAAUGGUUAGAUUUUUUUUUAAAUGUAAGGGAAGAAGGUACAAGCGCGGAGACGAUAAUGCUCCCUUAGAACUGUCCCCUUGAGGGCUUCGGUCACACGCUGCAGAACUGGUCCCCAUAGGCCAGUAUCUUGGACACCUUUUCCAGGCUUAAAGCACAACACUGGCCCCCAAAUCGCUACCGACCAUGUGCUGACCCGAAACAGUUGCACCAGUGUCUAAAGAACCAUCCAGCAGGCAUCAAUAUUUGGAGAAUGAACACGCAGGGAAGUCUGAGGCAAGUGAUUGGAAAGGCGUUUCUAAUUAGGGAGCGGGAACCCUCCACUGAUGGCAGAGGGCCUGGCUGAAAUCCCGAGUGACCUGGCGGAACCGCGGGCAGGCAGGGUGGUCCUCCCGCCCCGUCCCGUCCCGUCCUGUCCAGCUGGGGCUCUCGGUCCAGUGACGGAGGUCACUAAAGAGACACGAGGUCAGGGCCCCCCUUUUAGGCGAAGGCGGCGGGUCUGAAAACCAUUAAAAUCAGACCCUAACACAGGCCUUUUCCAAAUACCUGGGGACCUGAGGAACCCGAGAAGGGACUGCGGGUCAGAUUUCUUUCCGGAGACCCAGUCCCUCUGUCAUUUGCCCGAAUGGGGCCACUUCUGUUCUCAGCAAGUGCGGAAGACCCCUGGUUUCAGGCCAUCUAUGUCAAAACCUGUGCCAACACGCCAAACGUGGGAGGAGGGGAUGGCUCACAUGACAAAAGGAAUUCUUCGACAGAAACCUGCCACUUCAGCAUUCCUCUCGCUUACAAACUUCCUCCAGGCCUUUCCCAUGUCCCGUGAUCCACCGAGAUUGGUUUUGCACAGCUAUUGCUCCCUGCCCAGACCUCAUGGGCGAAGCAAGGGAGCCCGGGUGAUUUUGCAUAGACCGUCUUUCGCCAGUGGCAGAGUUCAAAGGGAGGAAUUUCAUUCAGGACCAUAAGCCCUCUUGGGAAGUGAGCAGGGAGCACCCAUCCUGGGAGGGAGGGGCCGGAGGACCCCAACCAGGUCCAUGGUGACAAGGGGACAUCGCCCAGGACCAUGCCGGCCAGACACAGAAGUAGCAGGGUCUGUCUGUCUGGACACACAAACAAAUGUCCCAGGGCGCUGUCUCUUAAAGGGCCUCUUCCAGGCUCCUGGGAACUCGCAACCCCCAGGGAAGGAGGCAGGUCUCAGUCCUGAAGACCAGAACUGUAGUGCUUUAUGGUUCACCCAAAUGCAGUUCACUUCUGUCCUCACCAAGUACAAAGGGCACCUGAUUUCAAGACUUCUAUGUCAAAGCCCGUGCCAACAAACCAAAUAAGUAUAUGGGUGGGGGGGCGCGGACCAGGUGGGGGUAAGCCUGGAAGACUUCUCAGAAGAGGCGGAGUAGAAAAGCUUUAUGGCUGGGUUAUACUUGAGCGGGAAAAGGCUCCGUUCUGGCUUUAGCUGGCCAGGACGUCAGUGGACUCCCUGUUUCCUAAUGUGUCCACUCAUAGUGAAAAAGCCUGGGGAGCUUGUUAAAAAUGCAGA